rfam:Ictidomys tridecemlineatus contig047783, whole genome shotgun sequence.
AUGGCUGUGGCUGAGUGGUAGAGCUCUUGCCUAGCAUGCAUGAGGCAUUGGGUUAGAUCCCCAGCACCACA